GCAGUGCGUCGCGCCGCUGCCCGCAUCUCCGAGGCCCGCGACGAGCGGGGCCUCACGGGAGCUGGAUGCUCGGAGCAGCAAGGCGGCCCUGGGGGCCCCUUCCGGUCCCGGGGCUGACGCCUGGCGGCGUCUCCGGGAACCCGCGCCCUUUCAAGCGCCGCUGGCUCCUGUUUCACAGAUGGAGACCCUGAAGCCCCAACAAGCAGCCUCCCCAGCACCUCCCAGUGACUGAAAAAGCUGGCACUGGGCGCCCGUCUCACUCUCCACCCAGCUCCCAGGCUGCCCCACGGGACGUAAGUAGCUCGAUCUAGGCCGCUGACCCCCAGAGACUUGAUGCUGCGCUGCAGACUGCCGCCGCUGCCGGGGCGCUUGACUUCCCCUCUCCUGACAGCACGUUCGUUCCUUUGCAGCAGCACCUUUGGGGAGAGACGAGACCUGAACAAACGCUGGGGCUGGAUCCCCAGGGUGGGUCAGAACAGCCGUUGCCCUGAAAGCUGGCCCGGACAGAUGCGUGCGGGGCGUGCCACCGGAGCUCCUUCCAGCUUGCGUCUGGGGCCACCAUGUCCCUUCCUCAGGGCACUGGAUCCAUCUCUUCAAGCUCAGUGGUCCAGGCCAUGGUGGCAGAAUCACCCCCCAGGGUGUGACGCCUCGUCCCUGUCAAUUCCACACAGCUGCACCCGGAAGAGCUGUGGCCGGGCGCCGCUCUGACCUGUGUGCGGUCCCCUGAAUGGGUCUCAGGUGUCUUCAGAAUGGGACACCUCCUUGCUCAUCUGGCAGCAGCAACAGCAGAAGUUGGAGUCGGUGCCACCUGGGACGUACCUGAGCAGGAGCCGAAGCAUGUGGUACUCACAGUAUGGAAAUGAGGCCAUCUUGGUCCGAGACAAAAACAAGCUCGAGGUCUCUAGGGACACAGGGCAGUCCAAGUUUUGCACAAUUAUGUAAUUCCGAUGUGAGCACCUGAACCCAGGACCACACUUUGAGGAAAACAGACCUGAGUUUCAUUCAGUUGUCUUGUUGAUUUCCAAUCCUUGCUGGAAGAUUUUGAAUAAUGAACGUGAAGAUCAAACUGUGGUGUAAGAACCCAAGAAGCGCAGAAUUGGCCCCCGAACCCCUCAGCACAGCCGCGGUGUGACUGGUGCACAGGACACUUCCCCUCUAGAGUCCCCUCCGUGGUCAGCUGUUGUGACAUUUGAAUUCUCCAGGUGCUGCUAGGGACAGCAUAGGCCCGGGCACUGCUAGAUGCUUGGUUUAAACCAGGCCAAGAGUAACCCUCCCAUCCCCAUUACAAACCACCUUUUCAAGUUUUUUAGGUUUUAGUUUUUUGUUUUUAGCAUAAAUGGCGGAGUAGCAGCAGCAUCUCACCAGGAGCUUUGUCGCAUUACAUUUUGUAUUUUGCUUUUUUGAGACGGGGUCUCACUCUGUUACCCAGGCUGGAAUACAGUGGCACAAUCACAGCUCACUGUAGGCUCUAUCUCCUGGGCUCAGGUGAUCCUCCCAAACUCAGCCUCCCAGGUAGCUGUGGCUCCAGGCGAACUACUGUAUAUAGAGACAGGGUUUCCCUAUGUUGCCCAGGCUGGUCUGGUCUUAUAGUCCUGGGCUCAAGCCUCCCAGAGUGCUGGGAUUACAGGCAUGGGUCACCGCACCAAGCCCGCAUUUAUAUUUUGAGUUACCAAAAUGAUCAUCAUCUGUGAAGCAUCAUGGUAGCUUCCAAGCAUUUGCGGCCCACUGGCCAGUGCAUCCAAAACACAUUCAGGAAACCCGAGAGUUGUAAGUUGCACAUGUGUGGCCUACAGUGACUUCCAUGUAGUAACAGGGCUGAGCAAGGCAGGCUCUCCACCAGACUUAAAGCAUUCAACCACUCUGCCCCCAGGCCGACACUGACAUGUGUUCACUGUCGCUGCCACAGCUGGCCACCUGUGUUCAGUCUCCAUGAAGGAUUCACCUUCUGCUCUCACUGACAUCUCCUUGGCUACACAAAUGUGCAGGUGUCUCUUGUCAAAGCUAAUUUUUCUUUUCUAAAUAAACAUCCUUUAAUACACUCCUCCCCUUCCUCACACUUAUUUUUAUCCUUGUUCGUAAUAUCCUACUUGGCUUCCCAUUUUUUAUAGCAGUAAUAUGUAAUUGAUUGCUAAAGACUGCAAUACACAAAGGCAUAAAGCAAAGCACAAGUGCUCUCCGUGGGGAGAACCCGGCCGGCAGCUGGGGAUGCGUCCCACAGCUCCUCAGCAUGCACACACGGUCACGUGAUUCUGACGGCCUCAUCCUGCACCAUGCCUCUUGUAUCCGCCAUUUUCUUUCUUGCUCAACUGUACAGACUGGGCAUUCACUUAAUGCUUUUCUUUUUUUUUAAGAGAGUCUCACUCUGUUGCCCAGGCUGGAGUGCAAUGGCACAAUCUCAGCUCACUGCAACCUCUGCCUCCUGGGUUCAGGCGAUUCUCCUGCCUCAGCCUCCUGAGUAGCUGGAAUUACAGGUGCCUGCCACCACGCCUGGCUAAUUUUUCUAUUUUUAAUAGAGACAAGGUUUCACC
rnacentral:lncRNA from 1 species